rnacentral:rRNA from 1 species
UACGAAGGGGGCUAGCGUUGCUCGGAAUUACCGGGCGUAAAGGGCGCGUAGGCGGACAGUUUAGUCAGAGGUGAAAGCCCAGGGCUCAACCUUGGAAAUGCCUUUGAUACUGGCUGUCUUGAGUUCGGGAGAGGUGAGUGGAAUGCCGAGUGUAGAGGUGAAAUUCGUAGAUAUUCGGCGGAACACCAGUGGCGAAGGCGGCUUACUGGUCCGGUUCUGACGCUGAGGCGCGAAAGCGUGGGGAGCAAACAGG